GACGAACGCUGGCGGCGCGCCUAACACAUGCAAGUCGAACGAGCGAGAGAGAGCUUGCUUUCUCGAGCGAGUGGCGAACGGGUGAGUAACGCGUGAGGAACCUGCCUCAAAGAGGGGGACAACAGUUGGAAACGACUGCUAAUACCGCAUAAGCCCACGACCCGGCAUCGGGUUGAGGGAAAAGGAGCAAUCCGCUUUGAGAUGGCCUCGCGUCCGAUUAGCCAGUUGGCGGGGUAACGGCCCACCAAAGCGACGAUCGGUAGCCGGACUGAGAGGUUGAACGGCCACAUUGGGACUGAGACACGGCCCAG
rnacentral:rRNA from 1 species